GGGAACACCUGUCAGAAUCAUCUGAUGAGUUGAACGGUAGAGUGAGUGAAACUCUCGCAUCGGAAAAAUGAAAGUGGAGAAUAGCGAACCGGACUGACUGACUGACUGAGAGUUCACCAACAAAAGAGUGAAUAGUAUCCCCACUGGGACCCACUCCAAUUCACAACAAUUUCUUUCUUCCGAAACACCACUUUCUUUAAGUCCUUCGUGUCUUUAUUUUUGUAAUUUUAUAUUUUAUAAAUAAAUAUAAGACCCUACCCUACCUAGACAUUUCCAGGAAAUUUCUUCCACUUCCCUACCCUUUUUUCCUCUUUGAAGAAGAAGGUAAAGAAGCAACUUUUAGUUUCAAUAACAAUAAUUUUUUUCUAUCACGCUCAGAUUUCCUUCUUAAUCCUUGAUCCGUGCUGUGCGGUAAUAAGAUUUCAGAGCUGAUCAUUCUUCUUUUAGCGGUGGCCCGGUGGUAUCAUUCAGGAAGCUAUAGUUAUGAAUUAUCCACCAGAAAAGCUUGUGAGGUUCCAGGACUGGAAUUCAGGGCGAAGCACUGAAGGACGUUUUUCUGAUAAUAAUUGGAUAAAUUCGGGGAAAAUUAGAUUCACAAUAAAUUCCUUUUCAGAAAAGUUACAAAGAGGGGUUGAAUCUGGUUCUGAAAGGUUUAAAGGGAUUAGAAGAUCAUUUAAAUCUUGUUCUUUUAACCGUGGGUUUGGGUCUAGUAAGAAAGUUCUUGAUCCACAGGGGCCGUUUCUUCAAAGGUGGAACAAGAUAUUUUUAUUAUCUUGUAUCAUAGCAGUCUCAAUUGAUCCUUUAUUCUUUUAUGUCCCAGUGAUAAAUGAUGAUAAGAAGUGCCUUGUUUUGGACGAAAAGAUGGAGAUCACAGCCAGUGUGCUGCGCUCAUUCACAGAUAUCUUUUAUAUAAUCCAUAUUAUUUUUCAAUUUCGUACUGGGUUCAUUGCGCCUUCUUCUCGUGUAUGGAAGAGGCGUUUUAGUUGAAGAUUUAUUGGCAAUAGCAAAGAGGUAUCUGAAAUCAUACUUUGUAAUCGACGUUCUAGCAGUUCUUCCCCUUCCACAGGUAAGAAAACAUUACAGGCACAUGAAAAUGUUCUUCCUUUUGGGUUUAACUGGUUUAUGUGUCGCAGGUCAUACUCUCUUUAGGCCUUAAAAGUUAAAUGAAAUGUGUGGAUGAAUCUUUUUGAUUUAUAGGGUGAGCAUGAACUUCUCGUUAUGCACUUUGAAUUGUGAAUAGUACUAAGAAAUUCCAUAGAACCCUGAGUUGUUGAACCGUUCUAUAAUCUGUCAUACCAAGGGCUAGUUAUCAGGUUGUCCAAAGGAUGAGUUUAAUUGCUGUAACUAGCUAUGUUUUUGCAUCUGCAAUGGAAAUAUGUUGUUUCAUCACAGACUCACAGUCCAUUGUUAUAGAAACUUUUUUUUCAUCUACUAAUGCAUGUAGUCCUGACUGCUGUACUAGGCCAUAAAAUACAGGAAUACCUGCAGCUGAGCCAGCUCCUCGAGAUACUCCGGAGGGCAAAGGUCAGGUCUGGUGGAUAAACCCUGACCCAAUUUUAUGAAAGUAGGGCCUAGUCUGGUGAAGAUAGUCCUCAAUUCAGCUGCUCGUUUCCUCUUGUUUUGAUCUAAGGUUUCAUUCUUUUGGUCCAAAAACAGUUUCAAAGCAAAAGUACCCAGUGCUACCAAGAUUUCCAAAGACGAGACCCAUACUUUUUGGCAAGCAAUUGGGGGCUGUAAACGGAGGCAUCGGCAGCAUGAGCCAAGGCUCGAGCCUCCGCCUUUAGUUCCUCGGCUCGGUCAGUUGCUAAAACCUGUAUAGAGGUGGACGAUGGCGAACCGUUGACUCUGGGUGUAGCUUCGACCAAAGCAGCUCGAGGACAGAUUUUGUAGCCCUUGGGUUUGGAUAUAGAAAACCCUUUACCUGCUUGUAAAUAGAAGGGAUGACCCCCAGCUGAAACAACAAGGCUCCUGGCUGCCACUGCAACGACUUUCCCCCCUCCGACCAAUGGAUUCAAUAAAACCAAAAAAUGGUGGAAAGUGUCACCCUUUUGGUUGAUUCAUAGAUUUUACCAAAGGGCUGUAAGUUGGUUUAGACUUUCCAUAGACUCGUAAAAUUUCUGAUGUCUUUCGUUUUUGCUAUUUUAAAAUCUCAUCCAAAAACUCCCAUUUCUCCUA